CACGUUGACUAAGAGCAUCAGCAACAUAAUUACUAGAGCUAGGACGAUACUCUAACAUAAAAUUGAACUCUAAAAGGAAAUCCCUGCCAACGAGCCUGUUUGCUCAAUAGUUUUGGUUGGGACAUGAAGUAACUAACUGCAAUGUUAUCUGUCUUCACAAUAAAUGGAGACCCAAGCAGAUAGUGACGCCAUCCUCUGAGAUAAUGGACUACUGCCAACAAUUCCUUUUCAUGUGCCGAGUAACGACGUUCUGUCUGGUUUAAUUUUAGGCUCUCAUAUGCUACCGAAUGUCCUUCUUGCAUGAGGACUCCACCAAGUGCAAAAUCUGAAGCAUCUGUAUGAGCUUCAAAUGGUUUAGCCAUAUCCGGUAAGGCUAAAAUCGGAUUCGUCCACAUGAACUUCUUCAACCUUUCAAAAGCAGCUUGGCAUUGGGAUGACCAAUCACAAUCCUUAUCCUUCUUUGUCAAUUCAAUAAGUGGCAGUGCAAUUUCUGAGUAGCCUUUCACAAAUCUUCGAUAGUAAUUGCAUAACCCAAGAAAUGAACGUACAUCAUGUACGAUUUUUUGUGGUUGUCAAUCUUUGAUGGCUGUAACUUUCUUUGAAUCCAUGCGGAUUUUACCUUAUUCAAUGAUGUGACCCAAGAAACUGAUAGAUGUCUGAGCAAAUGAGCAUUUAGACGGCUUAGCAUAAAGUUCAUUCUCCCGUAGCCGAUUAAAAGCUUGCCUCACAUGCUGGACAUGUUCCUCCAAUGUCUCACUGUAGAUUACUAUGUCAUCCAAGUACACCACGACAAAAUCAACUAAGAACCCGUGAAGUACCUGAUUCAUCAUAGUACAAAAUAUUGCUGGAGCGUUUGUUAAACCAAAAGGCAUUACUUUAAAUUCAAAGGCUCCAUAUCUAGUUACCACCGUAGUCUUUGCUUCGUCUCCCUCCUCGAUCCGAACUUGCCAGUAUCCGGACCUAAGAUCAAUCUCUGUGUAAUACUUCACCCGACUAAGUCGAUCAAAGCAAUC
rnacentral:lncRNA from 1 species